CCUACGGGAGGCUGCAGUGGGGGAUAUUGCACAAUGGGGGGAACCCUGAUGCGGCGACGCCGCGUGAGCGAAGAAGUACCUCGGUAUGUAAAGCUCUAUCAGCAGGGAAGAAAAUGACGGUACCUGACUAAGAAGCCACGGCUAAAUACGUGCCAGCAGCCGCGGUAAUACGUAUGGGGCAAGCGUUAUCCGGAUUUACUGGGGGUAAAGGGAGUGCAGGCGGCCUGCCAAGUCUGGUGGGAAAACCCGGGGCCCAACCCCGGGCCUGCAUUGGAAACUGGCGGGCUGGAGUGUCGGAGGGGCAGGCGGAAUUCCUAGUGUAGCGGUGAAAUGCGUAGAUAUUAGGAAGAACACCGGUGGCGAAGGCGGCUUACUGGACUGUAACUGACGUUGAGGCUCGAAAGCGUGGGGAGCAAACAGGAUUAGAUACCCUGGUAGUC
rnacentral:rRNA from 1 species